GAUGAACGCUGGCGGCGUGCCUAAUACAUGCAAGUCGAGCGAACAGACGAGGAGCUUGCUCCUCUGACGUUAGCGGCGGACGGGUGAGUAACACGUGGAUAACCUACCUAUAAGACUGGGAUAACUUCGGGAAACCGGAGCUAAUACCGGAUAAUAUAUUGAACCGCAUGGUUCAAUAGUGAAAGACGGUUUUGCUGUCACUUAUAGAUGGAUCCGCGCCGCAUUAGCUAGUUGGUAAGGUAACGGCUUACCAAGGCAACGAUGCGUAGCCGACCUGAGAGGGUGAUCGGCCACCCUGGAACUGAGACACGGUCCAGACUCCUACGGGAGGCGGCAGUAGGGAAUCUUCCGCAAUGGGCGAAAGCCUGACGGAGCAACGCCGCGUGAGUGAUGAAGGUCUUCGGAUCGUAAAACUCUGUUAUUAGGGAAGAACAAAUGUGUAAGUAACUAUGCACGUCUUGACGGUACCUAAUCAGAAAGCCACGGCUAACUACGUG
rnacentral:rRNA from 1 species